rnacentral:rRNA from 1 species
AGUGAACGCUGGCGGUAGGCCUAACACAUGCAAGUCGAACGGCAGCACAGAGGAGCUUGCUCCUUGGGUGGCGAGUGGCGGACGGGUGAGGAAUACAUCGGAAUCUACUCUGUCGUGGGGGAUAACGUAGGGAAACUUACGCUAAUACCGCAUACGACCUACGGGUGAAAGCAGGGGAUCUUCGGACCUUGCGCGAUUGAAUGAGCCGAUGUCGGAUUAGCUAGUUGGCGGGGUAAAGGCCCACCAAGGCGACGAUCCGUAGCUGGUCUGAGAGGAUGAUCAGCCACACUGGAACUGAGACACGGUCCAGACUCCUACUGGAGGGAGCAGUGGGGAAUAUUGGACAAUGGGCGGAAGCCUGAUCCAGCCAUACCGCGUGGGUGAAGAAGGCCUUCGGGUUGUAAAGCCCUUUUGUUGGGAAAGAAAUCCAUCUGGUUAAUACCCGGGUGGGAUGACGGUACCCAAAGAAUAAGCACCGGCUAACUUCGUGCCAGCCGCCGCAGUAA